UACGUAGGUGGCAAGCGUUGUCCGGAAUUAUUGGGCGUAAAGCGCGCGCAGGCGGUCUCUUAAGUCUGAUGUGAAAGCCCACGGCUCAACCGUGGAGGGUCAUUGGAAACUGGGGGACUUGAGUACUGGAGAGGAGAGUGGAAUUCCAUGUGUAGCGGUGAAAUGCGUAGAUAUACGGAGGAACACCAGUGGCGAAGGCGGCUCUCUGGCCAGUAACUGACGCUGAGGCGCGAAAGCUAGGGGAGCAAACGGG
rnacentral:rRNA from 1 species